AGAAUGUCCAGGGAGGACCUGCCUUGAGAAACCAUCAUCCAACCCUCUUGUUUACUGGAGGGAAGACUGGGGCCUUUAAAGGCAGGGGUUAAGGGGAGGCUCACAGAAGCCCCACAGCUAAAGAGAGGGGCUGGAUCUUCCCAUGCUCAGCACAUCUCUUUACUCCUAGGCAGGGGCAAGAAUCAAAAGUCUGGUGGAGGUGCUGAGGGGACUCCAGCUCGGGGUUCCCUUGGAACAGGGGGACCUCAUCUGCAGGCCCCACUGACCAAUAAGCAGCUCCAGGGCGACGCGAUCAGAGGAUUCAUAGGGGCGAGAGAAGUGCAGAACCAUGUGAAAAGGCUGCCCACGGCGUAUAAUCAACUCAUCGUAUUCAAACUCAUCUGUGUGGUGCUCUCGGCGAUUCUGGUCUGACCGCGAACUCAGCAGAUCCACACCAGUCACCACCAGCAUGCCCUCUGCAAGGCCACGGCACUAGUGACAUCCACCAAACCAGAUGCCCCAUUGAGAAACCUGCUCUCAAGGACCCAUCCCAGAAAGGAGUGGACACUUGUCACAGCCUCAGGACCCAGAACACAGACCAUCCCUGGGAGAUGCUCCCACCAUCUGACAAACUGACAGCUACUCAGUUUGGAUGUAGGAGCUGCCUGCCUCUAGGACCCAUUCUUAGCAGAUACCCCAUCCAAGGCUCCUUGCAGAAGACAGAACAGAUGGCAGAAGGAAUGGUGGUGAUGGUGGUGAUGGUGGUGGCGGUGGCAGCAGCAGCGUAGCAGCCUGAGGGAGCCUCUCCAUUGUUUAUUCAGUCCCAAUAAGUUAAAGAACGAGGGCAGAGAAGGGUCUCCUAGACAAGGAUGCUGUUAACCAAAGGCAAGAGCUCAGCCAGGUACUCAGAGGUGCCCACUGCUUGGCACAGGGGGUUGCCCUGCAGGUUGAGGAGGACCAGCCUGGGGCAGGAGGCAAGAGGCUGGAGCACCAUGCGCUGCUGGAGGCCUUGGGCAGGAGAGUCAAGGAAAGCGUGCCAGGUUCCCCCAGACCCACGUGCUCCCGGGUGCCCAUCACCAACUUCCCUCAAGAAUGGGGACUGCUGCCUGGAAGUCUGGCUGACAGGCAUCUUGCACAUUUCCCUGGACGGAGUAAGGCUCCAGACUGCAAACCCCUGCCCAUGGGGCCAGGCAGGAAGCCCAGAAGGCGGGCAGGCGUGGUAUAUAUACUAAGGCCUGCUUUAACUUUCUUUUUGUUUUUGUUUUUUUUGUUUUUUUUUUUUUUAAGUAGACUUCACACCCUACAUUGGGCUUGAACUCAAGACUCAGAUUAAAAGUCAUAUGCUCUACCAA